GAAAAGUGUGCUUAGCUCUGAAAUGUCUUUUAAACGUUUUUGUGGUGUUCCCUGGACACAAACCAGUGAGAGCCAUUAAAGAGGAGUUCCACAGGAUUGCAGAUCAUAUGUGAUGCUGCACUCACGGGUAUAUCGUGAGUCUGCACUCAGCAACAGGAUGGAACGUGGAGAGUUUGAAGGCCUUCUGCUGGGUGACAGAGUUACCCGUGCCAGCCCGCUAUGGUCACUCCUUACCCUGACCCUGAUCCAGGCCCCCAGAGCACCUUUAAUGUGGCCCAUUGCAGGACAAGAGCCCGGGUGGAGAUGACCAUAGGACUGUUGAAAGUGGAAAGUGGAAAGUGGAAACUGGAAAGUUCGUUUCCAGUGCCUACACCACCUCAGGGUAACCCCUGACAGGGCCUGUGACAUUAUUGUGGCAUGUGUUGUUCUCCAUAAUAUUGCCACAAUUAUAAGAGAGCAACACCCUGCCCAUUAAAUAGAGGACCCUGAAGAGAACCCC
ensembl:lncRNA